CAUAACCCACUAUUUAUCCAAAAACAAUGGCAUUCCAUUAUCCAGAACUCAAUAAGAAUGAUCGCCUUCCUAAAGAUUUUACGCAAGACUUUUGCAUGCUAGACGAAUUAUCCGAGAGAGCGAUAUGUUAUCACUAGCACUGGCUGCUCAAAUCUAUGGUGGAACCCUUUUAAACGAUUUACACAAGCAAAAAACCUAAGCAAAAGCCAGGCACCUGUUUAGAUGAUCAUAUGUUCUACUUGCUAUACAUUGUAUGGGAAGCACCUAUUAUAUCGUAUCUUUUAGAUCAUGUGUAUUUAGGAGUUUGCUUCUUCUAUUAAUAAAUAAACAAGUAAAGUUCAAGAG
rnacentral:lncRNA from 1 species